UACGUAGGGUGCAAGCGUUAAUCGGAAUUACUGGGCGUAAAGCGUGCGCAGGCGGUUAUGUAAGACAGGUGUGAAAUCCCCGGGCUCAACCUGGGAACUGCAUCUGUGACUGCAUAGCUAGAGUACGGUAGAGGGGGAUGGAAUUCCGCGUGUAGCAGUGAAAUGCGUAGAUAUGCGGAGGAACACCGAUGGCGAAGGCAAUCCCCUGGACCUGUACUGACGCUCAUGCGCGAAAGCGUGGGGAGCAAACAGG
rnacentral:rRNA from 1 species